rnacentral:other from 1 species
AAUAGCCUGCGGUGUGCGGGAAUCGAACUUUUGCUGCCUAACACGUCAGCGAGGGACAGCCCCUCGAAGGGGGUGUGCCAGCCUUCCACAAUCAGGAGGAACGCCUCAUCCCUUCACACCGCACCCCAUUUUUUGGGGGCCAGGUACAAAAGCCCUAUUUGACACGGCACUGCGGGCUAUUC